rnacentral:lncRNA from 1 species
CCUGUUGUUAAGGAAGGAGAACGACUGUCGAUCGUAUGUUACAAAUGCGGAGGGGAGGGACACAUAAGUCCAAGGCAUGUUACAAUGUUGGAAGAGAAGGUCACCUAGCCCAAUUUUGUCGUGCACUGAAGUCAAGUCCAGCUGGGAUGGAGGCAUCAAAGGUUGUCCCAGACAAGAAAAAAUUGGUAGUUCAAGGGAGAGCGUUUGUCGUAACCUCCCAAAAAGCGAGGAAUCCAAACGAGGUGAUCACGGGUAAGCUAAUCAUCAACUCUAGCGAAGUAUAUACCUUAUUUGAUGCCAG